rnacentral:rRNA from 1 species
GCUUCGACCGCGACCCCAGGUCAGGCGGGACUACCCGCUGAGUUUAAGCAUAUCAAUAAGCGGAGGA